GUUUAUGCAGAAGAAAUGCUGCAUCACAAAUCAGGAAUCUCUCCCAAAAAUAAAGUUCCCCGAGUGAACUGUCCCUUUCUUGAUUCAGAGAGGCCGCUGUGAGUUGGAAGAUGUAUUAAAAGUUACAACUCACUUCAGUGGAAACUCACUCAAUUGUCAUUGUGGGUGAGCAUCAUGUCACUUCCCUACUCAUUAGACAUUACCACAAGCAAGUAUGCCAUCAAAGCCGGCAUUUUUGAAGUGAUAAUAGUAAGAAGUUUGGAUUUGUUUUGAAGCAUGAUGGAAAGACACAUAUCUUCAACCACAAUUUGCACUUGAUACAGCAAUAUCUGGAGCAGUGUCUCAGAAAGGCAGCAUUCAUUAUUAAGGACCUCCAGCACCCAGGGCAUGCCCUUUUCUCACUGUUACCAACAGGUAGGAGGUACAGAAGCCUUUAGGUACACACUCAGCAAUUCAGGAACAGCUUCUUCCCCUCUGCCAUCCAAUUCCUAAAUGGACAUUGAAGUUACAGACUAGAAAAACUUAAAACGACGGACAGCUGUUGGCUCUCGCACAGGAGAACUUAAAAGUAAAAAAAAACAAAUACCGGAGAGUACGGAGGCAACUGACAGGGAGUUCACGGACAGAUUGACCCAGCUGAUGACGCACAUUGAAAAACUGACUAACUCUGUUGCAUUAAUAAAGCACCUUGUUAAAUGUAUAAAUGCUUUAAUGUCUGUAUCAGUGUUAUCUUGUAUUUCCAUACAAUGUUACAUUAGGCUGUUACACAUCUAUUGUCAGAGAGGUACUUGCAUAAAGAUGAAAUAGUGGCUUAUCUAGAUAGCAGUGGUAGGAUUGGGCCGAGCCAGCAUGGAUUUACCAAGGGCAAAUCAUGCUUGACUAAUCUAUUUGAGUUUUUCGAGGAUGCAACCAGGAAGUUAGACAAGGGAGAUCCAGUGGAUGUAGUGUACCUCGAUUUUCAGAAGGCAUUUGAUAAGGUCCCACAUAGGAGAUUGGUGGGUAAAAUCAGAGCUCAUGGCAUUGGGGGGAAGAUAUUGACAUGGAUAGAAAACUGGUUAGCAGAUAGAAAGCAAAGGGUAACAGUGAAUGGGUGUUUCUCGGAAUGGCAGGUGGUGACUAGUGGGGUGCCACAGGG